rnacentral:sRNA from 1 species
ACAAGUCCGCUGAAGGAAAGCCUCCAGA